rnacentral:tRNA from 1 species
GGGGUUAUAGUUCAGUGGUAGAGUGCCUGCUUAGCAUGCACAAGGUCCUGGGUUCAAUCCCCAGUACCUCA